UGGCUCAGGAUGAACGCUAGCGGCGCGCUUAAUGCAUGCAAGUCGAGCGAUGAGGCCCUCUUCGGAGGGUACAUCAGCGGCAGACGGGUGAGUAACACGUAGGUGACCUGCCCUAAAGCUGGGGAUAACGGAUGGAAACAUACGCUAAUACCCAAUAGACCUGUGAGGUCGCACUCAUAGGUAAAGCUCCGGCGCUUUAGGAGGGGCCUGCGGCCCAUCAGCUAGUUGGUAGGGUAACGGCCUACCAAGGCGAAGACGGGUAGGGGGUGUGAGAGCACGACCCCCCACAAUGGGACUGAGACACGGCCCAUACUUCUACGGGAGGCAGCAGCAGGGAAUAUUGCACAAUGGACGCAAGUCUGAUGCAGCGACGCCGCGUGGAUGAUGAAGGCCCUCGGGUCGUAAAAUCCUUUUCAGGGGGACGAGGAAGGACGGUACCCCUGGAAUAAGCGUCGGCUAACUACGUGCCAGCAGCCGCGGUAAGACGUAGGACGCAAGCGUUAUCCGGAUUUACUGGGCGUAAAGCGUCUGUAGGCGGUUCGAUAAGUUGGGCGUGAAAGCUCCGGGCUUAACCCGGAGAGGUCGUUCAAUACUGUCGAACUAGAGGGCAUCAGAGGAGCAUGGAAUUUCCGGUGUAGCGGUAAAAUGCGCAGAUAUCGGAAGGAACACCAGUGGCGAAGGCGGUGCUCUGGGGUGGGCCUGACGCUGAGAGACGAAAGCUAGGGGAGCGAACAGGAUUAGAGACCCUGGUAGUCCUAGCCCUAAACGAUGGAUGCUAGGUGUGGGGCCGAGAAGGCUCUGUGCCGCAGUUAACGCGCUAAGCAUCCCGCCUGGGGAUUACGGCCGCAAGGCUAAAACUCAAACGAAUUGACGGGGCCCCGCACAAGCAGCGGAGCGUGUGGUUUAAUUCGAUGCUACACGAAGAACCUUACCUGGGUUUGACCUGUACGUGGUAGAGAAG
rnacentral:rRNA from 1 species